rnacentral:rRNA from 1 species
AGCACCACAACGGUGGAGCCUGCGGUUUAAUUGGACUCAACGCCGGGCAGCUCACCGGAUAAGACAGCUGGAUGAUAGCCGGGCUGAAGACUCUGCUUGACUAGCUGAGAGGAGGUGCAUGGCCGUCGUCAGUUCGUACUGUGAAGCAUCCUGUUAAGUCAGGCAACGAGCGAGACCCACGCCAACAGUUGCCAGCUCGUCCUCCGGGAUGGUGGGGACACUGUUGGGACCGCCUCUGCUAAAGAGGAGGAAGGAAUGGGCAACGGUAGGUCAGCAUGCCCCGAAUUAUCUGGGCUACACGCGGGCUACAAUGGGUGGGACAAUGGGUAUCGACACCGAAAGGUGAAGGCAAUCUCCUAAACCCAUCCGUAGUUCGGAUUGUGGGCUGCAACUCGCCCACAUGAAGCUGGAAUCUGUAGUAAUCGUGUCUCAAAAUGGCACGGUGAAUAUGUCCCUGCUCCUU